UAAGUACUCUCUCCGUCUCAAAAUUCUUGUCUUUGAUUUGUUUAGAAAUGGAUGUAUUUAAAUACUAAAACAUGGCUUGAUACAUUCAUAACUAGAUAAAUCUAAGACAAGAAUUUUGGGACGGAGGAAGUAUGAU
rfam:Hordeum vulgare subsp. vulgare, WGS project CAJW01000000 data, contig: morex_contig_227610